rnacentral:rRNA from 1 species
UGGGCUUGACAUGUCCGGAAUCCUGCAGAGAUGCGGGAGUGCCCUUCGGGGAGUCGGAACAC